GUGAAUCAUCAAAUCUUUGAACGCAAAUUGCACUUCCUGGUAUUCUGGAAAGUAUGCCUGUUUGAGGGUCAGUUAAAUAAAAAUCGGAGUUGUUGCUGCUUUUCGUGGUGACGCGUCGGAAUUGAGUUGUCUUACUUUCGGUUAAGUGACUUAAAAUUUUGCAUGAUUUUCGAACGUAUUUAGAUCGCUUACGUACGUUUGAGAUAUCGAAUGUUUAUUAGGUUUGGUCAUCCCCUUGAUUAUCGCUUAUAAUUUUUUAUUAAAUGAACUCAAAUCAG
rnacentral:misc_RNA from 1 species